CCAAGCAAGGAGCUAAGGGGAGGGGGGCCCCGUGCCAGGCGUUUAAAAAUGCCCCGUGGCAAUGAGGGGUGCCAGAGGCCCGGCCAAGUUAGUUGAGAAGAAAUGACACCCCCACAACAAUCCCCUAAAUGGGCUGGCCCCCGCGUCCAGGCUGCAAGGAGCCACUCCUGGAACAGACCCCUGGAAAGGCAAGGCGCUGGCUGGUGGGAGCCACUGCUACGACCCUGCGGAGAGGGCCCUCCUGAGGACCAGAGAGGAGGGCGGCAGCAGGGGCCCCCAAGAACAGAGCUCCUCCCGGAGCUUCCCAGGAAGACAGAGGUUCCCCCAGCUGGGCUUAGCGAUAUUUCCUGAAGACAGUGGAGAGCAGGGAGGGGAAAUUGGCCCAUUCUCUGGGAGCAACCCUCCAGCCUGCCACCAGCCAGCACCAGGUAAGAAUCUGCCCUAUAAGAGACCAAGGCCACCUGUUCGACCAUCUCCUUUGACAGAGGGGAAAUGGAGCCACAGAGAGGGGAAGCACCUGGGAAGAGUGACCACACCAGCUGGUGAUAGAGCUCAGGUCUCCCAAGUGGCCCCCCAUCUCCUGACUGGGGACCAGGAGCCUCUCGUGGGGCAAGUGGAAUAGGAGGGCUACCGACCCCCUUCUCAUCUGAAGGAGACCAGGGGUCAGGGCCAGCACUGUCUGCCUGCUGGGCACGUAAGAAAGACUCAAAGAAGCAGUUCCCAGGGCAAAGAGAGCCAAGACACCCUUCCUGCAUCUCUGCCCCCCCCCAGCCCACCAGCACCUCCUCCAGGAAGCCCUCCCAGUUUCCCCCUAGAACAGGAAACUCUUUGUCCUCUAAGACCUUGGCAGUCCUUUCUCAGGCUCCCUCUUGUGCCACUUGGGUCUGCCCCCUAUUGACCUUGCCAGGGACAUUUUCCUUCCAUCUCAGCCUGAUUGCAUUCCUCCAGGGCAAGGACCCAGUCAGGUUCAGUCCCACCUCCGCUUGGCAGAUAGAAGCCGCCCUAAGUUGGCUGAAUGUUCCAGUGAAAUAUUUAGACCCUGUCCCAAACCCAAAGGAUUGGUGACGUGGCUGGGGGAGGAGACAUUCAGCAUAGAGGUUAAAAUGAGGGCGCUAUUCUGAGUUAGGAACCCAGCUCAGCUCCUAACUCCAUGGACUUGGAAAAUUCCCUUCCCACAGAGACUUGGAGACACGGGAUUAGCACAAUUAAAACAGUCAAUAAAUGACUAUUCUUAUGACAGUCAGCAUCCCCAGAUUUUUCUAGAUACAAGGGAACAGGACGGUGCAGCCUAUAGCCAGAGGAGAGGGAGGUAAAUAAUAUUCUCCCGGUCAAAGUUUGCUCAUGGAGCCCCUGUCCCUGCAUCAGAGUUUCUCCCACUGGACCGUGGGGUUGCCUCCCCCAUCUACUUCCCAUCGCCAUACCCAGGAGAGGCGCCAUCUUUGCAACAACAUUGGGAGCCUAGUGGGGUAUGCUGGAAACAGCCCUCAACUCCCCUGCUUCAAGCCGGGCUGUGACAGUGGCACCAUCUCCCCUCCACCUUGGUCCUCCACGUGGAGGUGACAACACUGCCCCAGCAGCCUCACUGGCUGAGCUGAAGGCUAAAAGCAGCGGGGCACAGUUUCCCCAACCGCUACCUCUCAGACACCCCCUUCAGUAUUCUUCCCCUCUCUGCAAAUAGUCUUAGUAUCUGUACAUUUAACAACUUUUUUUUUUUAAGAUUUUAU